rnacentral:rRNA from 1 species
GCUCAGUAACACGUGGACAACCUACCCUCCGGACGGGUAUAAACCCGGGAAACUGGGUAUAAUCCCCGAUAGAUCUCGGUCGCUGGAAAGCCCCGAGAUCGAAAGCUCCGGCGCCAGAGGAUGGGUCUGCGGCCUAUCAGGUAGUAGUGGGUGUAGCGUACCUACUAGCCUACGACGGGUACGGGUUGUGAGAGCAAGAGCCCGGAGAUGGAUUCUGAGACACGAAUCCAGGCCCUACGGGGUGCAGCAGGCGCGAAAACUUUACAAUGCCGGCAACGGCGAUAAGGGGACCUCGAGUGCCAGGUUACAAAUCUGGCUGUCGUGAUGCCUAAAAAGCAUUGCAUAGCAAGGGCCGGGCAAGACCGGUGCCAGCCGCCGCGGUAACACCGGCGGCUCGAGUGGUAACCGUUAUUAUUGGGUCUAAAGGGUCUGUAGCCGGCCGGAUAAGUCUCUUGAGAAAUCCAGCAGCUCAACUGUUGGGCUUUCAGGAGAUACUGUCUGGCUCGAGGCCGGGAGAGGUGAGAGGUACUUCAGGGGUAGGGGUGAAAUCUUGUAAUCCUUGAAGGACCACCAGUGGCGAAGGCGUCUCACCAGAACGGACCUGACGGCAAGGGACGAAAGCUAGGGGCACGAACCGGAUUAGAUACCCGGGUAGUCCUAGCCGUAAACGAUACUCGCUAGGUGCCGGCCACGGUGCGACCGUUGUCGGUGCCGUAGGGAAGUCGUGAAGCGAGCCACCUGGGAAGUACGGCCGCAAGGCUGAAACUUAAAGGAAUUGGCGGGGGAGCACCACAACGGGUGGAGCUUGCGGUUUAAUUGGAUUCAACGCCGGAAAUCUUACCGGGACCGACAGCAAUAUGAAGGCCAGGCUGAAGACUUUGCCGGAUUAGCUGAGAGGUGGUGCAUGGCCGUCGUCAGUUCGUACUGUGAAGCAUCCUGUUAAGUCAGGCAACGAGCGAGACCCACGCCCACAGUUGCCAGCGUACUCUCCGGAGUGACGGGUACACUGUGGGGACCGCCGCUGCUAAAGCGGAGGAAGGAAUGGGCAAUGGUAGGUCAGUAUGCCCCGAAUAUCCCGGGCUACACGCGAGCUACAAUGGUUGGUACAAUGGGUAUCUACCCCGAAAGGGGAUGGAAAUCUCCUAAAGCCAAUCUUAGUUCGGAUUGAGGGCUGCAACUCGCCCUCAUGAAGCUGGAAUCCGUAGUAAUCGCGUUUCA